ACUUUUGUCAUUUGCACUAGAAAACGUCCUGCCUUUCUGGGAAGAGUCUAAGAUAAUACUUUUGGGAAAAUAUUCUAGUAAUUUUCUUCAACAUCCGUGCAGCGAAAUGAGUGCUACCACCCAGCUGGAGUCAGGCAUGUGAAGACUGUGUGGGGAGGAACCAGCAGAUACACGGAGUAAACAUUUUUGAGUACCCCUGGGAGCCAGAUUAUCCUGUGGCUAUGUGUGGGAUGGUUUGAAGAAGACCUGGACAGGAGUCCUGAGAAGCCAGGCAAGCGGCAGUGAAGGGACCCAAGGAAGAAACACAGGAUGUCUGAAGGGCUGACGGUUCUGAGGAAGGAGCCCAAUAGGUCUUUCAGGUUUGGGUAUAAUGGGGAAGUCUCGAAGGACUGAGAGAGAGAAGAGCACAGGUUUAUCUCCGCCGGAUUCAAUGGCUCUGCAAAGACUGGAGAAUACUCAAGGAACCCCUUAUUUUUGAACCUCAAAGGAACUGCCUUGUUGUCACCAACCUCAGCUAUGUACUCUGGUUUGAUUCCC